CUACGGGUGGCAGCAGUGGGGAAUAUUGGACAAUGGGGGGAACCCUGAUCCAGCCAUGCCGCGUGUGUGAAGAAGGCCCUCGGGUUGUAAAGCACUUUCAGUGAGGAAGAACGCCUGGUGGUUAAUACCCAUCAGGAAAGACAUCACUCACAGAAGAAGCACCGGCUAACUCCGUGCCAGCAGCCGCGGUAAUACGGAGGGUGUGAGCGUUAAUCGGAAUUACUGGGCGUAAAGCGCGCGUAGGUGGCUUGAUAAGCCGGUUGUGAAAGCCCCGGGCUCAACCUGGGAACGGCAUCCGGAACUGUCAAGCUAGAGUGCAGGAGAGGAAGGUAGAAUUCCCGGUGUAGCGGUGAAAUGCGUAGAGAUCGGGAGGAAUACCAGUGGCGAAGGCGGCCUUCUGGACUGACACUGACACUGAGGUGCGAAAGCGUGGGUAGCAAACAGGAUUAGAUACCCUGGUAGUC
rnacentral:rRNA from 1 species